AACGCUAGCUACAGGCUUAACACAUGCAAGUCGAGGGGUAACGAGAGGAAAGCUUGCUUUCCUUGUCGACGACCGGCGCACGGGUGAGUAACGCGUAUCCAACCUGCCCCCAACUAGGGAAUAACCUUGCGAAAGUAAGACUAAUACCCUAUAAUUUCCUCAGAUGUCAUCUGACGAGGAAUAAAGAUUUAUCGGUUGUGGAUGGGGAUGCGUCUGAUUAGCUUGUUGGCGGGGUAACGGCCCACCAAGGCAACGAUCAGUAGGGGUUCUGAGAGGAAGGUCCCCCACAUUGGAACUGAGACACGGUCCAAACUCCUACGGGAGGCAGCAGUGAGGAAUAUUGGUCAAUGGGCGAAAGCCUGAACCAGCCAAGUAGCGUGCAGGAUGACGGCCCUAUGGGUUGUAAACUGCUUUUAUACAGGAAUAAAGUUAGCCACGUGUGGUUAUUUGUAGGUACUGUAUGAAUAAGGACCGGCUAAUUCCGUGCCAGCAGCCGCGGUAGUACGGAAGGUCCAGGCGUUAUCCGGAUUUAUUGGGUUUAAAGGGAGCGUAGGCCGUCUGUUAAGCGUGUUGUGAAAUGUAGAUGCUCAACAUCUGAAUUGCAGCGCGAACUGGCAGACUUGAGUGUGCGCAACGUAGGCGGAAUUCGUGGUGUAGCGGUGAAAUGCUUAGAUAUCACGAAGAACUCCGAUUG
rnacentral:rRNA from 1 species